CUCUCUCCCUACACGACGGCGCUCUUCCAUCUGAAAUGUUGACAAUCUCAUCAAAAGUGAUAUUUCCAUUGUGCUUAAUGUUUUUCUGCUUCUUUCUGUCUCUUGCUGGUUCCUUGAGGGCUUUGGUAAUUGGGGCAGACGUGGAAGUUCCCACUUCAAUCUGGGCCUGUCAGUUUCACUGUGAUCCUCAGACCCUUUCAACCACUGGUUGCCUUGGCAAUGUCAUCACCAAACUUUUAUGGAGACAGAUGCAGUGGGUUGAUCUUCUGGGGCAGGGAAGAUGUGGCACUGACUGCCUCACCCAUGCACCUCAGGUAUAUGACUUUGAUCUUGUUGGUGUUGAACUUAGGUGGUGUGGUGGAGGUGGCUGGUAUCAGAUGAACCCAGAUUUGGGUUGAUGAAAGAUAGUUGCGCCUUCCCUUCCUCUGAGCCAAAAGCCCAAAGCUAUGGGAUCAUUUUCUUGAGCUCACUCCUAUCUGCAAUCUUCCUGACACUUUUCUGCCCCUAGGGAUUCCCUUGUUCUCUUUUCUGACCUUCUGGCUAUAAAGCUUGGGCUUUAGAUUCCUGGCUCUGCAGCACACGUUCCUCGAAUGUGUUUGCCUCCAGGUCUAAGUGACUGGUAGAUGGAGAGAGAAAAGCAUUGGGGUCUUUCCUCACAUACUUGGGACCAAAGUUCCCUGGUCAGGAGAGAAGGAUGCCAGCCCAGACCCUGCAGCUGCCAGGCACCACCUGGCAGCAUUGCCUGAAGGCUGGGUGGGAGAGAAGGGAAAAUGAAGAAAAAAUCCCCCACUUCCUCUAACCCAUGGGGUCCUCUUCCUUGUUCCUUGAAACAGAACUAAAGGGCUUCUCUUAGAGCUCUUUCUCUCCACACUUGGUGCAAGGUUCCAGGUUUCAGAUUGCUUUUGAGUCUUGGCCAGUGGGUACCAAGGGAAACAAAUGAGGAACUUACUGAUUUGGUAGUAUUGCAAGUUCUGGUUCUCUUCCCCAAUUUGCUCAUGACCAUU